rnacentral:rRNA from 1 species
AAUGAACGCUGGCGGCGCGCCUAAUACAUGCAAGUCGAGCGAGAAGACGUAGCAAUACGUUUGUAAAGCGGCGAACGGGUGAGGAAUACAUGGGUAACCUACCCUCGAGUGGGGAAUAACUAGCCGAAAGGUUAGCUAAUACCGCGUACGCUCCUUGGACUUCGGUUCAGGGAGGAAAGCGAUACCGUGGGUAUCGCGCUCUUGGUUGGGCUCAUGUCCUAUCAGCUUGUUGGUGAGGAACGGCUCACCAAGGCUUCGACGGGUAGCUGGUCUGAGAGGACGAUCAGCCACACUGGCACUGCGACACGGGGCCAGACUCCUACGGGAGGCAGCAGUAAGGAAUAUUGCGCAAUGGGCGAAAGCCUGACGCAGCGACGCCGCGUGGGGGAUGAAGGUCUUCGGAUUGUAAACCCCUUUCGGGAGGGAAGAUGGAACGAGCAAUCGUUCGGACGGUACCUCCAGAAGCAGCCACGGCUAACUUCGUGCCAGCA